UCCUGGUAGUCUGUCAGCCUGGGGAAGGGAAUCUGUGAGUUGGCUCUCUAGGAAAACCUGGAAAACUGAUUAGCAAUGGGAGAGGAGAAAAAGUUGGAGCUUUGGGAAUAGCUGGAGAAAGAAGACCAAGAGGCAAAAAUUUGAGAGAUCACUACCUUCCAAUCCCUCCAAGUCAGAGGACCGGACAACCAAUAAUGCCCAAAAAACUCAGCCAAAGUUGAAAGGUAAAUCACCAGAGCCUCUUGCAUUACUUUAUCACCAGUUUGUAUAACUCAGUUUCAGAGAGGGAUCCUGGGAAUUUGGUCUAUGUUGUUGCAUAGAAAUUUUUGUUUGAAAUAUGAAUUACAAAACUACAAAUGAAUUACAAAAAAACUUUGUCUACAUUAUCUAAUUUGAGCCAAACAAAAC
rnacentral:lncRNA from 1 species